GAGGGGCCUCCUCUUCUUGAAUGAGGCCGAUUUACGUGGAGGUGGCGCGGGGGGGAGGAGGAGGAGGAGGAGGAGGAGGAGGAGAGCAGGAGCCUGCAGGAAUCAGAGACCUUUUCUUUUGUCCUCUCGUUCUCGGGACCCCGACACAUGGGGUCAACGCGGGCUGAAUGGGUUCCUACUGAAAAGACUGCCUCGGACUCGGACGCACGCAGACGCCGAUGAGAGCGCGCGCUAAUUAGGAAAACCUGGUCGAGCAAUUAACACCGAGGACAGAAGCCGCGCAGAAGAGCUCAUUUAGCUCCCUGGUCACCUUAGCACCAUGAGUUGGAGCUUCCUAACCCGUCUGCUGGAUGAGAUCUCCAACCACUCCACCUUCGUGGGGAAGAUCUGGCUGACGGUGCUCAUCAUCUUCCGCAUCGUGCUGACAGCCGUCGGCGGUGAAACCAUCUACUACGAUGAACAGAGUAAAUUUAUCUGCAACACGCAGCAGCCCGGGUGUGAGAACGUGUGCUACGACGCGUUUGCACCGCUCUCACAUGUACGAUUCUGGAUCUUUCAGGUGAUCUUGAUCACCACCCCCACCAUUAUGUACCUGGGCUUCGCCAUGCACAAGAUCGCUCGCAUGGAGGACAACGAGUACCGGCCCGUCCGGAGCCCCAAGAAGAGGAUGCCCAUUGUCAGCCGCGGGGCAGUUCGAGAUUACGAGGAAGCAGAGGACAAUGGAGAGGAAGACCCCAUGAUAGCUGAAGAGAUUGAACAAGACAAGCCCGACAAAGAAGAAAAAAACUCAGAGAAAAAGCAUGACGGUCGUCGGCGGAUCCUGCGUGACGGCCUGAUGAAAGUCUACGUGUGCCAGCUGCUGUGGCGCUCCUCCUUCGAGGUGGCUUUCCUUUUCGGCCAGUACAUCCUCUACGGCUUUGAGGUGAUACCCUCCUACGUCUGCACUCGCUCUCCGUGCCCGCACACCGUGGACUGCUUUGUGUCCCGCCCCACGGAGAAGACCAUUUUCCUGCUGGUGAUGUACGUCGUGUCUUUCCUCUGCCUGCUCCUCACCCUCUUUGAAAUCAUCCAUUUGGGCGUGGGUGGCAUCCGCGACACCUUCCGCAAGCGGGCCAUGCUCGGCUCACGUGCCCCCCUUCCGUCCUCCUCGCGUGCCAUGCCCACAGCUCCGCCCGGAUACCACGCCACCGUCAGGAAGGAGAAACUGAAAGGAGACCUGAGGGACUCACCAAUGGCCGACUCCGGGCGGGAGAGUUUCGGGGACGAGGGGCCGUCGUCCAAAGAGCUGGAGCGGUUGAGGAGGCACCUGAAGCUGGCCCAGCAGCACCUGGACCUGGCCUACCAGGUCGAUGAGGGAAGCCCUUCACGAAGCAACAGUCCCGAGGUCAACGCGGCUGCACAGACGGCCGCCGAGCAAAACCGCCUCAACUUUGCCCAGGAAAAGCAGGGGGAGGCAAGCGAGAAAGGAAUACAUGCCUGAGCGUGCUUCCUGCCUCAAACGUCUGUUCUUCCAUUCCCACUGGCCUUAAACACAUGGAGGAAGCACAUAUCGGAGUGCAGUCAGACCACUGAGGGAGACCACAGCGUGUGUGUGUGUGUGCGUGCGUGCGUGUGAGAGAUUUGCCUUUCAGUAUUAGGGGUCAGUCAGAAAGGGGGGAAAAAUGCUGACCAAGCUGUGUUGUGACAAAUGGUUCAUCUCCAGGACUCUAAACUUGAAAGCCUGCCACAUCUCGAGUUUUUGCAUGCUGACCUCCUUCCAAACCUUGACUGUGCCUUCGGCUAAAACCUUGUCUACACCCUGUUCUUUCGCCUACUCUUGUGUUUUUGUGGCCAUGCAGUAAUCCUCGUCCAUUUCAGACCUUGUAAGGAUUAUCGAAAGCUUUAAAGUCCUCUGGCCAAGUGUACUUGUGUUGUCUCCCUCACAAAAGAGAGGCUCUCUACUUAUGAAAUGUCGCCGAAUGUUGGUCUCACUUUGAGAAUCUCAAAGAACACAGCCUUUGGUUAUGUCAUUUCUGGAGCGUGUGCAGCAACGAGGGCGGCUUAACCUGCGCUAGAGGAGUCCUGUUUAAUUUAAACAGAUUAAUGUUAGGGAUUAUUGGUGUUUAUCAGCCACAAGCCACACCAUUUCAGAAAUAUUUGACAGAAUUUUUAAGCCUGUAUAUUUACUCCAAUCAGCCAAAAUGUUUACCUGGGAAAUGCUUGAAUUCUUUAACGACAGGAAAUGUUCCUAAGAAUCAUUUUUUUGUACAAUCAAUUCAUUUAAAAUACUCCAUUUAUUUUUACCAGUACCUAACUAGAAUAUUUACUUUUGUCUAGAAGGACGUUUUGGCAUCACAAAUGCCAGCUAUUUCACACGUUCUUAGAUGUCAGUAAAUCCCUUCUUUCCUAAAUGAUGUACUAUAAAAGAAAACAUGAUUCAUCAUUGCAGAAAUUUAAAGAACAAUUUUGACAUUUUGUGGGGUUUUUUGCUAACAGCUGGAAACGUCUGUCUUCUGGGCUACCGUCAACAAUGAAAUUCUAUCCUUUUUGAAAUUUACAUUCUUCUUUGGUGAGACACAUUUUCCAUCCUUGACAUGCACCACUACCCCUCCGUUGUGCUGAAACACGGAUGCUUUCAUCUAUCCUG